UAUUAAAGUCGGCGAAAGCUAACGACGACCAACAGCUCAAAUAGCCAGGCAAUGAAGAGUCGACGCGCAGUAGUCGUUGUCGUGUAGUGGUGUCGUCGUCGUCGUUGUGCGCUCGUUCAGCGUUUUGAGGAAUUAACUACCAAGGAACACACAGGAGCAACUGCUCACUACAUAUACGUACGGAUAUACAUAUGUACUUAAAUACUUAUACAUAUGUGUAUAAACACAUACACAAACACACAAAGAGGAGCUACACGAACACACAUACACAUAUAAAGUUGAUGAACUUUGUGGAAAAAGUGCAGAAAAGCGCUGAAAAAGUGAGAAAUUCUAACGGAAAAUUAUGAAAAAUGAUGGUGUAUGAAUUUAACUGAAAUAAGAAACCAAAAAUAUAUAAAUAAAUACUUCAUACAAAUAUUGCGUAAAUGAAAGAACAACUUAAAUUUAAUAAAUAAUUAAACAGACUUAUUGGCAUUGUAUUUAAUAAAUGUACAUACCUACUGCUCCCGCUACACAUUAGAUAAAUAAAUAUAUAUGUACAUAUUAUGUAUAUCAACUAGUUUUACAAUUUAAAGUCUUAACUAACAACGAAUGAAUACACAACGCCGUCUUAAGGAAUCUAAUAUAUUGUCAACAAUUCAACAGCAAGGUGCCAAUGAUAAACCAAAAACAAUUAAGUAACAAGGUGAAGAAGUUAAGUUGCACAGAAGCCAACAGAGAAGACGCACACGACGAAUCACAACAACCACACGCACAUACUAGUAAAGGGAUGUACAAUGCCGAGCUUACGCACAGACGAUUAAAUAAGAACCAAUGUAUACUCGUCUACUCGGUGCGCAGUGCGGAUGAUCUAACAGCGAUAUAAGCUUGAAUCCCCAACAACAAUACAACAGUAAAAACAAAAAAAAAAACAAAGUUAAAAGCGCUGUAAGGUACGAGGAGCAGCACAAUAACCGUUAUUGGUAACUAUUGUCAAAGAGUUAAGGUGCACGAAGCUAUAAUAACGGCAACAAGAUUCAAUUUGCGAAUACAAGCAAAAGUACACACAUACACAAACACACACACACACACACACACACACACAGUAACAGAAGAAUACUGCUGCUGCAGCGCCGGUGAACUGAAAGUGUUACGCAGAUAUUGCAGCAAAAACAUUGGAAAUUGCUAGAGGAAUAACAACAACAAAAACAGCAACAGCAAAACAAAAACAACAGCAACAUCAACAUAACAAACAACAUAAUAACAACAACAAAAGCGUAAUACAGCAACUACAGGUGACAUCAACUGGUGUUCAACGUACCGCACAGAAUUUCGGACAGAGUGAGGUGUAAUAGCAGCAACAACACCAACACAAGAAACGCAAUGUUGUGGACUUUAGCCAAAUUAAUUGACAAAGAACAUAAUUCAACGAAUUACAACAAAAACCAAAACCAAGCGAAACAAAAACAACAACCAACACAGAUUCCCCAAAAUAGUAGCAUAACGGAAUAUCAUAGAGAAAAAGCAAAUUAGCAAAAAAUAAACUGAAAAAAAAACUAAUCUCACCUUGGACUGUGAUGAGCAGCAAACGGUUGACACAAUAAAAACCGACAACAACGCCUGCACCACAAACAUAAAUUAAAUAGAAUAGGCAGCACUGUCGAGCAGUCAGCGUCACAGCACAGCGUACGAAGACAGCCAGAUGGCAAAAGCGAGCACAAUAAAUGCAACACAGCAACUUGUAGAGGCAAACCGCGGUUUUCUAACCAAACUACAUACACACACACACGUAUUAUAUAUAAAUAGAAUUUCGUUAAUAAUAAAUAAUUAGACUUCAAGGAUGAUAGAAGGCACUUCGGCGUAGCGGAAGAAACUAGACGAAAACUGCAAAAGCUUUAAAAUAUUAGUAAAUAACAAAAACCAAUACAUGCAUAUUUAAAUUAUUACUCAAAUUAAUUAAUUAAUAAUUGAAAAAAAGUAAAUAAUAACAUUUAAAAACUCUACAAAAAUAACUACAAAACAUCAUUAAAAAAAAUAAUAUAAAAUCAUAAAAAUUCAAACUGCACUCGCUCAUUUCCAAAUACAACACGCAUAACGGCAAAAAGCAGUAGUAAAAACAAAAAUUAAAAUAACUACAAAAAACAACAACAAAUAUAAAAACAACUCUUAGCAUAUAUUCAUCAACGCAAGUACAUAGGCCAGUAAAAAACGUCAUUUGUCGCAACAACAACAACAACUACUACUACUGCUACAACAAACUACAUACUACUUUUAAUGUACAUAAGUAGCUACAUACAAGUAUGUAUGGUAACACUAAACAAAGUAUAAAUUAAUCAAAUCGAAUUAGCGGGACAGCGGAUAUUGUAAACUAAAUCAACGAAAUUAUUUCUAUAUGAAUUUUUUUCACAUUUCAAAGCCUUAUUGAACUUUAAGCUUUAAGCUAUAUUAGAAGCUCUCAACAACUCACGUUUCGCCAUUGUUAAGCGAACCUAGCGAGUUUUGUAUACGGUCCUUACGCUACGCAACGGUACAACGGUACACAUAGCAAGCAAACAAGCGUACAUACAUACAUACAUACAUACAUAUACACAUAUAUUGAUAGUUGAUUGCCAAACGGCGUAGUAGUUAGGAAAAAUGGAUGAUAUGCCAGAUUUGUCGCACCUAACGCCACAUGAGCGUAUGCAAAUCGAAAAUGUACUCAUGCGUCAAAAGCAGGAGGAGGAGGCGCACAAUGAGAUAAUGCGCCGCAAACAGGAUGAGGUCGUCUCAUUAGAAAUGCAAAUACGCCAACGCUCCGAGGAGCAGAAGAAAUCUGGCAUCGAAUUGGGUGCAAUCUGCCACAUUUGCCUUCAAACGAAAUUCGCUGAUGGAAUUGGACAUAUUUGCCAUUAUUGCAACAUCGUGUGUUGUGCGCGUUGUGGCGGAAAAGUGACACUGCGCAGCAACAAGGUAAUAUGGGUCUGUAUACUCUGUCGCAAAAAGCAGGAACUGCUUUCAAAGACUGGACAAUGGAUGAAUAAGGGACAGCAGCAGGAUAGUUUCCUGCGACGCAUCGAGCCCGAUGGCAGUAGUGAUAUCUCGCAGCAGGCCAUUGUCGAUCCACACGACACACUGGACAAGCGCCCAAAACUGGAGCGAACGCGCAGCGCGGCCGAAAAAGAGAAUCUACCAAUGCAACGAACGGGAAGCGUGUUGCGCCGGCAAUAUUCGCAGCAAGAGACGCCCACAAAUCGGCGCAUGUCUGCCUCCGACAGCGGCGCAGAUGUGAGUCCCGGACAACAGCGUCAACGGCCCAUGCACCAGCAGCAGCAGCAGACGCAACAACAGUAUGGCACGCAAGGUGGACAGCAGCAGGCGAGUGGCGGACAGCGGCCAUUUCCUGACGACGAUCCACGCUAUUAUCAGGGUGAACUGGACGGUCUGAUGCGGCAACAUCCACACCUGGCGCAUCCAAGCCAGUUACAAAAGCAGCAGCAGCAACAACAAGGCUAUCACCAGCAGCAGUUGCAGCAGCCGCCCCUGCAGCAGCAACAACAACCACAUGCACAGCAUGCGCAGUAUCAACAUCAGCAACAACAACAACAACAACAACACCAGCAGCAGCAGCAACAACACAAAUACCAGCAGCCAACAGUGUCACAGCAGCAGGCGCAACAACGCAAUUUACCACCACACCACCAGCAGCAUCUGCCGUCUCAACAGCAACAGCUCUCACAGCAGCAACAAGCGCUGCGCUCGCAUAUGCAGCCUGGAUCCGCACAGGUGUCGGGUGGCAUGACGCAACAACAACAUCAGCAGCAACAGCUGCGCCAGCAACAGCAACUGCAACAACAACAACAGCCACUGCAACAACAAAGACUUCCACAUCAACACUCAUACAGUCCACAAACGGCACAACUGCCCACGCCACCGUUUAGCGGCGGCCCAAGCGGCGCACCGUACCAGAAACCGGCGCCACUGUCGCGCAAUCUCACCAUAAGCGGCGGUCACGCCAUGGAUACGGCCAACUAUCCACAGCAACAACAACAACAGCUUCAGCAACAACAGCAACGACGCCCACUAGUCGGUGCCCAAUACGGUCCACCGCAACAGCGCUCCUUCAGCAGCUCGGAAGAGGAGAUACAAGCUCACAUGCUAGCACCACACUCGGCCGAAUAUAAUUACGACGGCAAUUUACGCGAACCUUGGAGGCAACAGCGCAGUCUCAAUGAACGCGAUCUCUUGAGUGUGACGAACUCUUAUGGCGCUAACGACUAUCGUUUGACCACCACAAAUCGUCUGUACUCUUCAGCCGAUCGCGAUCGCUACGAUUUGCAUCGCGAACGACUCGAACGGUAUCCACUAACACGCACCGCACGACUGGAUGUGCAGCAGCAGAACAUCUACAAUCGCACGAAUCACGAUCGACAGCCGGUGAACGCCAACAGUGGAGCAUACACGGCGCGUCGUGCGCCAACUUUAGCCACGGCUACGGCAACUACAGGUGGCGGUGGUAGCAGUAGCAGCAGCAGUGCCGGUAGCUACCACCACCAGAAACAGUCUCAGCAACAUCACCAUUCCAAUCCACAAAUUGUAAUCGAUGAUAAGCCACUACCUACAAGCGCUUAUGAACGCUACGGCAUCACAGUUGGCGGUGGUUCGCGCGGCGAAGAGGGUAGUGCGCGUCGCAUCGGCGCAGCGGCAACACGUAGCCUCGGGCGCGAUCGUUCACUAAUGGCAGACCCCUAUUGGGAUGAGACAGUUAUGUCGACAAAUGCGGCACAGGACUCGCGACGUUAUACGGAGCGUAGAAUAAAGAAAACGGUACGAUUUGAUGGGCAUGAUGAGCCGCUGUUAAGCACCGCUACAACAAAAUCCGGUUCAUUGCCGCCAGUAACGCAAAUCUUACCAUCAACGGCUGUGGACGUAGGCGCCGCCACUAUACUGACCAGCGCUAAAUUGGGCGCAAACGCAAACACUGCCAAUACGAUUAGCAUUUCGGAUGCGGCUGCCGAUUGGGCACGCUGGGACGCUGAACGGCAGGGUAGUCAGGAUUCGGCAACUAAGGAUUCUGGCAUCGAUACGUGCAGUACAUUCACGAGUAGCGAAGACUCAAAUCGUGGCGAUGGGCCAAAGCAACCGGUGAAUUGGCAAAUAUCCACGGAUAAUACACGCCUAAUUGGUCGUAUGAUAUUGCGAAAGUACUAUGAUGGUGAGGAUAUUCUCGGCUUGAAAGUUGUGGGCGGUCAACGGCCAACAGCAGCAGCGGACGCGCACAAUAAGUCAGCCGAUUGCGGUGCGUUCGUUGAAAAGGUGAAGCGCGGUUCGGUAGCCGAUGUUGAAGGACAUAUACGACCAGGCGACGAAAUCAUCGAAUGGAACGGUCGAGUGCUGCGUAAUAAGUGUGCGGACGAGGUUUAUCAGAUAAUUGACGAAAGUCGCUUAGACGCGCAGGUCGAAUUGGUCGUUUCGCGAACUCUACCCGCCAACGCCGGCGAAAACAAUGCCAAACGUAAAGUAGGCGGCCAGCAGCAACAAGGUGUGACGGUGCAAAAUCAAUGUCUCGCGAACACCAUUGCCAGUAGUGCUGUGGUCAGCAGUGGCGGACGCUAUUACACACGAAAAGCGCCCGCUGCGGCAAUCGAACAUCAUCGCGACAAGCCGAGCGUACUAAUCACAUCGCCCGGUUCGCCCGAUUUACACGCCACUAGCGGCGGUGCGCACACAUUGCGGCAGACGAAUGUGCAACAACGUGGCUACAGCGGCGACGCCGGUACGUAUCAGCAACACCCAACGCAUCCACAACCGAAGCAGCAAUCGCAAAAUCCGCAACAACAACCACCAGCACAACAACGGCACGGAGCGAACGUCGCGAACACAGCCAGUGCAACAGCAGUCGGUACUACAGCUACAACGACGACGGCGGGCCACCAUCAUCACUACCACCAGCCACCACCGCCAUCGCAUACGCAUCCGCAUGUCGCCGCCCACCACUUGCCCACAGUGGGUGUGGCGCAUGUGCUGUCCAUGGCCGUCGAAGGCCGCCUGCAGAUGAAACUCGGCUACGAUCAGAAUACCCUGCAGCUGAUAGUUACUAUCGUCUGUGCGACGGGCCUAACGCUGCGUCAGAGCGGCGCCGCUCGCAAUCCUUAUGCAAAAGUGUUCCUUCUACCCGAUCGGGGUACAAAAUCGAAAAGACGCACCAAAACUGUAGCGACCACAUGCGAACCGCGCUGGGGCCAAACGUUCGUUUACACAGGCUUAAGGCGUUCCGAUCUCACCGGUCGUUUACUCGAAGUGACGCUGUGGGAUUAUGUGCGCUAUGGAGCCAAUGACUUUAUCGGCGAAGUGGUCAUUGAUUUGGCGCAUCACGUGCUCGACGACGAAGCGGAAUGGUAUCAGCUGCAGCCCCACCAGGACACUUCGUAUCUCUUGCAUCACGACGACCAAAGUGAAGCGGACAUUAUGAUUUUGACACCGACAGAUCAUUUAUCACCACCCAGCACAAUGUCACGUCUUAGCGACUCCGAUGCGACGUCUGAAUGUGACAUCGAUGGACUGACGCCGGGGCGUGAUGGGGCAAGCAUAUCCUCACUGGGCAGCUCAUCAAGUCCACCACCAGAGAUCGAUUUGAAUGAGCGUCGCUCAAGACGCGAUAUGUCGCCGCAAGGUCGCAAGCGUGUAGCUGGUAUGGUAUCGCGUGAUUAUCGUACGGUAUCUGGCAUUGGACAAAGUUACCACAAUCAGCAGGUGAACACUGGUUACUUGCGUCGCAAUGGCGCCAUCACUGGUCCCAGUGGCAUGAGCCUCAGCCAGCGCAGUCAUUCCGCCGCACCGACCGACAGCUAUCACGGUGUGACCGGCAGCGGUCACAGUUAUUAUCGCAGCAGCAGCCCGCGACGCGGUUCACUCUCGCCGCCCGACGAUCGCUACAUAGACUAUCCAGUGCUUCCAAUACACGCAACAGGCGGCUCAGCAUACGGGCAUUCACUGUCGGGUGGUGCGAGUUCGUUAAGUGCCACCGCCGGUGGUAUUCCCUUGGGUGGCGUAGGCGGUGCUGCAAUCGGCCCCACUGGUACAGCGCAACAAGGACGCUUCCAGUCGCGUUCCGCUACAGCCACACCGACGGGUUCGCCUAAAAAGCGGCAGCUGCCACAGGUGCCGCAAACUUCACGCAGCGCCAUGUUACGCGAUCGCUUGGGUCAAGAGUUCGAUGAACGCCCGGGUGGCGGUCGCUUCGGUCGUCAUCGCACGCGUCAAAUUCAUCAUCAGGCCACUUACCGCAGCACCGGCAUGGGUGGCUGGGAGCGCCACUACACCGGCCUCUCGGACAGCGAUCUACAAUCGAUGGAGGCGCGGACACGACCGCGACACUCGCUAUCACCCGAUAAGGACUUCAUGGGUGAAUUUGGCGAUUCUGAUAUGGAGUCGGUGGUGAGCGUGACAUCGAGCGCUUUCUCUACUCAAUCGGAACGGCCGCGUGGCUCACGUGGACUGAGUUUGCCACGCAAUUGGCGCACCUUGUACGGCGCCGACCCAAUGCCCGGCAGUGUCCCCACCACCACGCUUGCCGGUCACCAUGCACACGCUCGGGGACGCGGAUUCUUUGAGCGCUACCGCGCCAAUACGAUCGAGGUCGAUGAUUGUGAUUUUUUAUCAACCAGCUUAACGGGCGCGCCAUCACUGUACGGUAUGGGGCAGUCGCCGCCACACCUCAAUACAGCGUCACAACAGAUGUUGUUGCUGGAGCAGUUAGAGCAGCUGCAACAGCUAGCCGAACUAGCAGCUGCUGAUUCACCGCCGAACACGGCUACUUUGGUGGCGGCAUCCAAUCCACACAAUAUCCUCAGUACAACCGCAACAAAUCACCUAUUACCACCACACCGACAAUUGCAACCGCAACAACUGCAACAAUUACAACAGCUACAUGAACCAACACAACUGCCAAGCCAACUCGUCAUGACCGGCAAUAGCGGCAAUUUAGUAGUGGAUCCGUAUAUGCUUGAUGGAAGCACUGAGCCGGGUCUGUUGUUAAUGGAGCCGGCGGGCGUAACGGUGAUACCGCCUACACCACCAUCCACAUUACCGCCGCCGCUGCCGCCGCCAGCGCACACUGUCAGCACACAAUUGCAACAGCAGCAACAACAACAACAGCCAUCACUUUCACAUCCACAGCCACAUCCCCAUAUAUUUCAUCCACAUCAAUACUUACCUCACAUACCGGAUUCCAUACAUUUCCCAGAGUUUCUAACUCAUGCUGCCGAUUUCAGUCCUUUCGCCGAAAAGUUAUUUCCACGUGAUAGCUCCUUAGGGUCCAGUAGCCAUUACCCAUUCUACGAUCAUUUACAACGUAUCACCACGCCCGUAGUGAAUCUAUUUCGUCAUAGCCCAAGCUCUACACUAAGUACACCGACUGCUGCUGCAGUCAAUUCUCCGCAUCAGCACGCCCAUUCCGUAUCAUCAUCGCCCUCAUCGUACAUUGCCUAUGUGCGCGAUCAUUAUGACAAUACAUGCAGUCACUGCCAAAACGGCAGCCAGCCGGUCGUACUGUCGACAAAUGCUGCACUCACCACACCCGGCAUAGCCAUAGGCGCUUGCGACAAUCCAUUUUGCAUUGCUGAAUCCCAUCCACAUCCACAGCAUCAUCCGGUCGCCUAUCCUUAUACAGCCGAACAACUGCUACGUAGACCGUCAUUGUCCAUGUAUCAGCCAUCGUCAGAGCCUUCACUGCCAACUAUGGAUCCGGCAAUAUGCGGCGAAUGUGUGGAUCAGCAUUUCGUGAGCGGUCUUACCGCACCACAAAUUGACUUGGGCGCUGUGCCCACCUAUCACGUACAUACCCCAACGCCAACGGCGCACAAAAAGGCCAAGUCCUCACUGGCACCGCCUCCUCAACUGCCCACACAAUCGGUUUUGCGCCUGUCGCGCCAAUUAAGCGAAGAUGCACUUGUAACGGCUAUACCAAUUGCCGAAUCGAAAGCGCAGCCUACUUCAAUAUUGAAAAAACCGAAAGUUGGCGUACCAACGGGCACAUUAGAUCGGCGAAAAAUGUUUCAUGAGGGCCAAUCACGUUCACUAGAUUACGAUGAUUUGCACGCGAAGAGUUGGGGCCGUCGUCGCAUAAGAUACGAAGACGAGAUAUAUAAUCCGCCACUGGAGGAGCUAUCUCGUCGUUACGGUUCCGAGACAAAUAUACGACAAUCUUAUAUGGGUGCCAAUGUUGAUGCAGUCAAUCCGCUUAGUCACUCACACUUUCUUGUCACUGACGACAAGAUCGUCACUAUUACCUAUGACUCGGAUGUGGGUUGGACGCGGCGCGGUGUUGCACCGUCUGUAUUUCACGAUCCGCGACGUCGCUUCGAUGGCCGCGAACGUAAUCAUAUGUCUCUAAACUUACAACGCACCAAUCAGGAAAAGCUUUACGGAGCUGCACUGCCAUACCAAAAGCGACGUCGCAAUCUGCCGCAUCCACCAAGCGCACAAAACGCCCACAAUUUCUCACCCGUUGAGGGUUACGAUGACGACCCCAUGUUAAUGGAACCCACCACACAUUCGUCAGCUACGCUGCCACCACAUAGUGGCGAACCAACAUCCAUGAACGGUACAGGCUCCGCCGAACGACCGGGACCAAUUGGCGAACAUCGCGAUCAACGUGAUCCACGCGAUGAACGCGAUCCGCGUGAUCUCAGUCGUUCAGUAGGGCCAGGCUCGUCACCUAGUCAACAACAACGUCAUCCUUCAUCAAUUAUCUCCAAACGCAGUAAAUCAUCAAUGGCCACCGCUGGUGGUCAUCGUACACGUGUAGAACAGUUACAGCAUGAAUCGGGCAGUGAUCGCAGUAAUCUCGUUAGUAUCAAUGACCAACCCGAAUAUUUCGAAUACGAUGAUUACGGUGAUCCCUAUAUAGACUCGCACACUAGUCGUAAUUAUGCAACAACAACAACAAAUGCAAGUAGUAAUAGUUUUGUUAGUAGUGGUGGUAGUGUUAGGCAAAAAGGGAAAGAAGUUUCAUACGGCGCGGAACAACAGACGAAAUCUAGUAGUGGGAGUGGUAGUGGUGGUGGUGCUUCUUCUACUGCUGCUGCUGGUAAUAUCGUCGUCGGUGGUAAUAUUUCUAAUAAUGCUUCUUCUUCCUCUUUUGCAAAUUCCCAUCAUGGUGUCGCUAACUCCACAUCACCUAAACGUGCCUCAUUGAAACAUACAAAUACAACUAACGACGCAAACCUAAACGUAAACGUUGACGGAACAACAACAACAACAACUACAACUCCCAUACAAACAACAACUACAUCCACAAACAUCACAACCACAUCAUCGUCGAAUACAACAACAACAACUAAUGCGAUGGCAACAACAAAUUCAACCUUAACAACCUCAACAACAAAUCCUGCUGCCGCAACAACAACAACGAAUACUGGUGAUACAACAACUGCGUCUGGCGAUGCCGCUGCCACGGAUGAUGCCGAUGCGCCGCUUGACGUCAUCGAUUGGGAUGCCAUCGACGCUAUGCUGGACGAUGACUUCAGUGAAUACGACAAAGACAAAAACGGUGGUGGUGAGGAGAAGAAGGACGAUGCCAACUUUAGUCAGAGUGUUGAUGAGAAAGUUGAUGGCAGCUUAUCUGAUACAGCAACAGAUCGCAAAAAGGGCGGCGUUGAGCAAGAGCGCUCCCCCAAAGGCGGCAGCGGUAUGGGUAAAAAAUCCAACUCCACCUCGCAAUUAUCGGCUACAGACCAAUAUACGGCUUCAUAUAAUGCAGCAGCCGCUUCCAAUGCAUCUCAUCAUCAUCAUCAUCUUCGCCAAUCGCGCGGUUCUGCCGGCAGCAUACAACGCUCUGUGGAGGUGCCGCCCGCAGCAUCGGCCACGCAAUACCGCACCGGAAGCAUACAUUCCAUAUCCACCUCUGAGGGCUCAUCAUUUUCACCAUCGCUGCGUGGCAACGAUGGUCAGCUGUCAGAGUUUAUAGACGGUUUGGGGCCCGGUCAACUGGUUGGGCGGCAAGUGUUGGGCGCACCAUCGCUGGGUGAUAUACAGUUAUCAAUGUGCCAUCAAAAGGGUUUCUUAGAAGUAGAAGUUAUACGUGCUAGAGGCUUACAGCAAAAGCCAACGUCGAAAAUGCUUCCCGCUCCUUAUGUUAAAGUAUACUUGGUUUCUGGCAAACGUUGCAUUGACAAGAUGAAAACUUCGACGGCAAGGCGCACAUUGGAUCCGCUCUAUCAACAACAAUUGGUAUUCAAGCAGCCAUACCAGGGAUGCAUUCUGCAGGUGACCGUUUGGGGUGACUAUGGCCGCAUCGAGAAGAAAGUUUUCAUGGGUGUGGCACAGAUAAUGCUUGACGAUUUAAACUUAUCGAACAUCGUCAUCGGCUGGUACAAACUCUUUGGAACAACCUCACUGGUCAGUUGUCCCACUAAUUUAGGUCUAUCUAGGCGCUCAUCAAUUGCAUCACUUGACUCACUCAAACUAUAGAGCACACAAGCUUUCUAGCAAAAUAAAAUAUACAAAACAAACUCAAGUAGAAAAAUUGGCUUAUACAAAGAAGUUGGUCUAUUUUCCAAAAUUUCUUUCAACACCGUUGCAAAUUUCAAACAAAAACACUCUGCAAUGACAAUUAUUUUACAAAAUUGGACUCAUAAUUGGAUUUGAAAUUGCUAACGAAUACACGCAACUCAAGAACUACUCAUACAAAAUAUAUUGUUUUUGUAGCUUAGGCGUCGGCACAAUGCAGCGCAAAAUUAAAAAUUAACAGUAAAUUAGUAAUUGCAAUUGUUGAUACUGCAAACUCUAUACUUGAACAUUUCACUUGACUUAUUUCAAUAUGCUUACUCUAAACAUUAUUUGUACUUAAUUACUUACUUAUAUAACCUCUUUCAAAUGCUUCGUUAUUGCUUGUGUCCACAUAUUUAGUACUCGUUCUCUACGCUCGAGCUACAAGUAGAAACAGAAAAAACCAAUUAAGCAACAACACUUAUGGGAUUCACUAUAUUCUAUAUAUACAUACACACUUCCUUAUAUACGAGCGUAUAGCAUACACGACAUGUAUAUACACUGCACAACAAGCACUCAAAUACUCAAAUAACUAUAUCCAAUAUAUGCAUAAACAACAACAAUACUAAGACUACUUAAAUCAUUAAAUAAACCUUAAAACCAAAAAACAAAAAAAACAAAUAAUAAAAAAUGUAAUCCGCAACAAUAAAUUCGUAAUGUAAACUUAUAAUGGAAAAUAUAGUUAAAAUGUGCAAAAUUACCGUAGAGUUCACACUCGUUCAGUAGACAUUUCACCGAUCGUUUUAGUGGUUUGGCAUUGAAUCGCUCAACGUAGUUUCUAGUAACCCCUGCAUCGAGCUGCUUCCACAGCAGCGGCGCGAACCUAAAUCGCUGGCUUAGCUGGGAAACGAAUGCAAGAAAGAGAGUUUAUAGCCAAAUACCGAACGAGCCAACACGUUACGCGUCGGAUAAAGUGGGUGUGCAAGCACGACCUACACGUGGGCGCAUAAUGGCGCUCGUGGUUUUGACGUCGAAAGCAGCUCAACAGCAACUUUUUGAAUUUAAACGAAGUAGGAAAGCACACAACUAACAAAAAAAAAAACAAAAAGAAAACAAAGAAUCAAGAAGAAAACAAAAUAAAUUGCAUAUAAAUAUAUUUAGAAUAUUUUUAAAUUAUGUUUUUCUAAGCUAAAUAUUACGAUAAAUAUGAUAAUGAUUAUAACGUUGAAGAUAAAUAUAAAGCUAAAAACAGGACUAUGGAGCGUGUGUAGUUGAAGUUGGGCGCGUAGUUUAAAGAUACGACUUGGUGAUUUAUAUAAUAGUGAUCAUAGUUGUAGUGCUGACAAUGACGUUGUUUAAGUAAUGAGAACAGAUACAAGAUGCAUUUAAUACUACAAACUUGUAAAAUAUUACAUACACACAUACAUACACACACAUAUAUAUAUACACGUAUAUAUAUACACGUAUAUAUAUGUACAUAUAUACAUAUAUAUAAAGAGCAAAGCAAGUGAGUAAAAAAAGGAUUUAUUAUUAAUACAUAAAUUUAAAGAGCUAAAAUAUUGAAAAUUGGUGCAGUUUUGACGGCAUUAUUUAUUACGUCUUAUUCUUGUAAUCAUAAGUGAAAGAAUAUGUAAAACUAUUGUUCGAAAAUAUGCAAAUAAAAUCAUAAUAUAUUCAUAUAAAAACAGCAGCUAAAACACAAAGAGAAAAACUCAACUUAAUUGGCUAUUAAUUUCAACCAAAAAAAAUAAAGAAAAAUCAAAUAAAAACAAAAAAUACUAACGAACAAGAAUUUUACCAUAAAUAUUUAUGAAAAUAAAGUAAAUCGGUGAACACUCAGUUAGAAAAAAAUUCAUAUAUUUCUAAGAACAAAUUUGUGCUGUACUAUAUUGAUGUGGAAAAGGAAGAAAAUCGAUAAAUUAUAUAUUUGUAAAUAUGUAUUAACUGAGCGGUUAUCACUAUAUUAAAAAAACUACAUACAAAUACACACAAACACGCGUAUACUAAUUAAAUCUACAAAAACAAGGAAAAACAGAAAUUGAAUUUUGGCAUGAAUUAUUUAAAUUAUUAUUUAUAUAGUAAUAAUAAAAUAAAAAUCCAUAAUAAUUUUCUACUCAAACUACAGACUAACACGCAUGGCAUAAAGCGCAGAAAACUUUGCUUGCAUACACAUAUUUGGCAAAGCUUUAUGAAUUAAUACAAACCUGCCUCUUUCUACAUUAAACUAACUUUUAGUGAUGUUUUUAGUGACUAAAACCGACGACCCAAACAGUGCAGCAGCAAAACUCCAUUGACUCACUUCUUCUUCUUUACUGGCGUAAAGACAUUGACUCAUAGUGUUGCAAAAAUCAAAUUUACGCUAAAAUUUAUAUUAUUGUUGCACACGUUUUAGGAACAAGUGCGCUUCAAGCAGUGUGCUGCAAACAAUUUUUCAGUAAUUCAAUGUGUUUUUGCUGCGGCACUCAUUACAGCGUAAGCCUAAUAAAAAAGUAUUAAAAAAUAUUGAAAACUCGUCGGUCGCAGUUCAAAAAUCUUGUCCAAAGUAUGGACGGAAUAUUGUUUUAACUUCGUUGACUGUGAGGAGAUUAAUUGAGAUAGCGGCAAAUUUAAGUCUUGUGUUAAUUUUGGAACACGCUGUACGUACAUACUAUGUAAGCAAAGAGAUUGUUUGGUGCCACCGAACUUUUGUCGACUCCAUCAUCAUCAGCUAUAUUUAUUUAAAUUAUGUCGCAUCCUAUACAUGACAGUUCCAGGACAAAAAAUUUCCAAAUUGUUUUCCUAAAAAAUUUAAGAGGUUACAUGGGUUUCCUCGGUUAAAAAAAGACUUUUUUCAACACUUUUUUCUCUCAUAAAAAAAAUGAAAUAUUUUAUAAGGAUUUUUUAUUGUUACAAACAUACACUAUUAACAAAGAAAUUCUGAAAAUUUUCAGAAGAAAAUAUUUUAAAGUCGGCCAUUGCUGCGACAUAUCCGGUGAUCCCGCGAAAAAAAGAUGCUCCCGCAUUUGCAGGAUAACUUCUUACAGGAUCAUCUAAGGUGAAAAAUACAUGCUUUUGUUAAAACCUUAACUUAGAACUUGGACGAAGGAAAAAAAUACUUGAGUAUUUGAUUUUUGCUAGACAUUUUUAGAAAAAAAUUAAAGAUUCAGUGAAGUUUCGAUACAUUUUUUUUUUUUUUUUUCAAUAGUUGUAAAAAAAUCCGUCGGCCAAGUCUUUAGAAAUUGAAUCUCAAAGUCAUGUGUAAAAUUUCAUGAAGAUUGGUGGAGUAGUUCCCACAAAAUCUGUUCAACCGACUUCAAAAGCACAGUUUUGAGAAAAACGCGUUUAAAGGCGACCACUUAGCCUAGCUAGCCUCGAGCGCAUAAGUUCUAAAGGCUGUAUAUCUGAAACUAUUUCUCGAAUGAACUUGAAAAUUAAGGACAAUAUUCUAGAGAUGUUGUAGAAUUUAAUAAGAUAAUACAUUUUUUGAAACCCGUAAACCAUGUAACCCCUUAAGUACAGCGUGUCAAAAAUGGCACUUAUCUUUUAUUUUAAGCCAAUUCAACUGUGGUAAAGUUAAAAGAAGGGAAAUGUUGAGAUAAAUUUUCUUGUUCCCUAUUAGUUACAAGAUUUCGGAACGGGAAACUAUUUCGGAAGUAAGAUCAUUAAUACCUCACCGUAGCGCCGCCUGUAGUAUAUAGUAUUUCUGCUGAAUUGUCUACAGAGUCUAUGACAUAUUUUAAUUUUUCCUUCCUUUAAUCAUACAUUUACAGCUUAUACUUUCUCCGACAAAUAUACACACACAUACACACAUGCAUAUAACUACACAACUAAUAUAUAUAAAUGUAUAUACUAAAUGCAUACAAAAAAUGUUAGCAAAAUUUUGUAAUCACACAAAAAUUAAAUAGCUUUUUUUAAUAAUACUUAUAAUAAAGAGUAUUUAACAGAAGAGAAAACAAUAAAAAAUACAUUUAAUAAAAAUCAAAGUACCUUCUAAUAGAAUGAGCUGUAAAAACGAUACCUGCUUGCAACUAAAAAUCGAAAAGAAAACAAAAAAAUGCAUCGCACAUAUACAUCAUACAUGCAUAUACAUACAUACAUAUAUUCUUAAUUUUCUUUUUGAAUUUUUCAUCAUGUAAACCAAAAUACUGCUUUGAAAGCUUGAAACCGAUUGCAAUUUAGCGAAAAAUGUAGGCACAGCAAACGAUCAAAUUAGAAAUAUUGCUUUCAUUGGCUUUUAGUACUGUUAUUUCAGGCAUUCAUUCAUAAAUAUUAAACAAAAAAAAUUAUAAAAACAUUGACAAACAAAUAGCAUUUUCUCGAUCCUUACAUAAAAGCACACAAGAGAAUUCCUUCAAAUCAUGCUUAGAGUAUUCACAAAACAGCGAAAUGGCUUAGAAACCGUAUUCAACUCUUUAUAAAACACCAAAAACAUUUUGAUUUCAACUGCUCAUUCACUAUAACAUACAUUUUUUGGUAUUUUUUAUUACGGCCUAGUACUUCCAGCUCCCUAGAGUAACAUGCACAGAGAACACUUAAAACUUUCGACUUUCUCUCAUAUACAUUUGAAAGUACACUUUCGGCCAUUGGAUUUUUAAGUCGAAUACCUAACGAAAAAGUCUGCUUCACAAAUCUCUUAAUGAAGUUUUUCCUACGCUGAGCCUUCAUAACCUCAAUCACAUGCCAAGAAAACCGUCGAGUUUUUGAUUCGCCAAGGGCUAGCACUAAAGCAGCGAAUGUGAUAACCCUACUGGUAUCAAUUGUUAUAAGAGAGCAGCGCCCAAAAAUAUGGCAGGCGGAGAAAGAACGAAUCGAAUAUGGCUUAUAUAUGAACGAACUUAACCAUUUGACAAAACAAAAGUUCGGUUCUUGUUUCUAGAGAAUUUAUUCUUUCGCUCUUCAACGUCGCACUUAAAACGCAAUGGCAAAACUCCGAGCAUAUUUCUCUCAAUAAAAUGCUCCACAUAAAAUUUAACAACAGUUUGGAGGCGCUUGAAAGCUUUUUGCUCUCUAAAUUUGGCGAAUAAAUUCAAGCCACAUUCAACAUAAGCUUUAAGCUUUGUCCAGCAUAUGAGAAUAGAUAAACAUAUAGCAUAGAAGAGUUCUUCAGUAAAGGCGUAAUUAAAUAGUUUUGUUCAACAUUCAACGCAAAAAGUGUAUGAUUCUCUCACUAGCCUGUAUUCUUCUUAGAAACUUACGCUUUUUAGUACAAAAAUAUAUAAAUAUUUGAAUCUUCUUCUCCACCAAAAUUAAAAUAAUUAACUGAAAACAGUAUUUAUUUCUCAAAUAAAAUCAAACAACUUUAUUUGGUGUAAAUCAACUGCAACAAAAAGGUUUUCUGACAAAAAACGAACGCACAAAUGGAAAGUGAAAUGAGUUUUGGAAAUUUUGUAAGUCCACCGUGUAGACGUUUAGUAGCGUAGUAAACUUAAAUAAGGAUAAAAGAGGUGAAACGAUUCACAACAACUAGCACACAUCCAUUAUUUAAAAACACAUACACGCAUGCACAUUUUGCUUUUCAACAUUUCUCCGUCCAUUCAUUGCAUACUCAAAGGAGAAAUUGUAAACUCGACAAAAAUUUUCAUAAGCACAAAACAUGAGCCAUCCAUUGAAAGCAUCCUACUUACAGACACUGUGUGCAAAAAGUAUGUCUACAUAAACUGCAUACAGUUAUGUAGUUAUGUUUGUACGAGAAUUCAACAAAUAUAUAUACAUAUAUAAACACAUACAAACUUACUUGCAUACGCCCCAAAAUAGCACACAUACAUACAUAUAUUUAUACUGCAUAAGCAAUGUGAAAUAUUCACCGUUGCUAUGCAUGCAAAUACGUAACAUACAUAGCAUGCUAGCAAUAUUGAUGGCCAAUGAAAAUAAAAAUAAUUAAAUAUAGAUAUAGCGCGCUUUAUUUUACAUACAUACAUACAAACAUGUUGACAUCCUCUGCAGCAUUAAGUAAUUUGUCAUAAAAAUAUUAAAAUUUAUAAAAAUCACCAAAUGAAAUAUUUACCCAACUACAUAGUACAUAGAAAUGUUUCACAAGUUUAUACAACCGUUAACUUUUUCUAGUUCUUCAUACUCAAAUACCCACGUACAUACAUAUUUGUGUGUCAGGUAAUUUUUCUAAUAGAAUUUCGAUAAGAAAAUUGAUUAAAAAGAUAUAUCGGAAGAUAUAAAAAAUGCAUAGAAAAUAGCUUAUCAUUUUUUUAUCAUAAAAAUACAUACAUAAGUACAUACUGGUUUGCAUAUUCAAUAGUUUCUAUGUAAUUUUAUAAAAAAAAUUUAAUUAACAAAAUCCAUUUUUCAAGUGAAAAUAUUUUUUUAGUUAGCAAAAUUAAUUUACAGCAUUUUUCAACUGAAAAUAUUUAUCAAAAUUAUUUUUCCUCAAAAUCUACACCAACAUUUGAAUAUUUAAAGGAAAUGCAAAAAAAAAAUAUAUUUUAAUUUUUAUAUUUAAGCCAACAUACAAACUGGCAUAUACUAAGUAAUCGUACAUAAAGCAGAUACAUAUUUUCACUGUUUGUAUGCAAUACAUAUGUA